UACGGAGGGUGCAAGCGUUAUCCGGAUUUACUGGGUUUAAAGGGUGCGUAGGUGGGUCUGUAAGUCAGUGGUGAAAUCUCCGAGCUUAACUCGGAAACUGCCAUUGAUACUAUAGGUCUUGAAUUAUCUGGAGGUAAGCGGAAUAUGUCAUGUAGCGGUGAAAUGCUUAGAUAUGACAUAGGACACCAAUUGCGAAGGCAGCUUACUACGGAUAUAUUGACACUGAGGCACGAAAGCGUGGGGAUCAAACAGG
rnacentral:rRNA from 1 species